CUAUCGAAUGUAUCAUUCGAAUGUUUUUUUAUAUGACCGAAUAGUUUUCAAUUUAAAAACUGUUCGAAUACACCGAAUUUUUUCAGAACUAUCGAAAAUUCGAAUAAUUCAGAACUAUUGAAUAAUUCGAUUAUUCGAAUACUUCAGAACUAUCCAAUAUUUGAAAUACUAUCGAAUAAUUCGAUAGUCAUUAUUCGAUAGAGUCCAUCACUUCUAAUAACCAACACAUUUAGAUAAUAAACAAAUAAUUGGCAUUGUCUUAUUCUGUGUAAUUGGUUACAUCUUUUUACAUGAAGGAAUAACUAGGAUUUGUAUAUCUGCACGUCGCUUCUUCCGCUAUAUACUGACUACCUACUGACUUGUGACUACUCAACUAGUGGCUGCUGCAGAAUUCCGAGCAGAGUACACCUCGCUGUUUGCUUUUCCACUGUGAGCGUCUGAUGUUUUGAUGUUCAUGAUUUCGAUGCAGGGAUAACUACGAUUGCAUAUCUCGUCUAUACUAUACUAACUACUAACUUGUGAUAACAAGUGGCUGUUGCAGAAUUCUGAGCAGAGUGCAGUUUGCUGUUUGCCUUAGCACUGCGUGCGUUUGAUGGUCAUGGUUUCGAUUCAAAAGAAAACAUAUUUUUUGAUAAUCUACAUUACGUUAAAUAUUCAGAAUUUCAUUUUGGGAAUACCUACCUACAUUACGAUUUAGUGGUGUAAAAGUAUUUACCAUUCGAGGCUGCUGAUUAUAUGAUUAAUUUGCACUUGUAACCACUGAACGGACAUAUAAUGGAUUUUGAUCCUCAUUGUGCUGUACCAGGAUGUAUAACUAAUACUGAUGUAGAAGAGAAAGAAGAUAUCAACUUUUUCCAACCUUCAACAGAAAAUGUAUAUGGUUGGAGUUUAUCAUUAGGUUGCCAGUUGACCGUAAACAGUAAUGUGUGUCAAUGACACUUCAGAAUUGAAGAUAUUUUACAUCCAAAAUUAUUAGUAAAUGGGUCAAUUCAAACAGUAAAAGUAUUAGUACGUUCUGCUUUGCCAAUACCAAUGGAUGCUGCUGAGGAGUAGUAUUGUGCAAUCAAACCCUCCGCCGCUGUCGCUUCAAACUGGAAAAAUAUAAAAAUAAAAAUAAAUACCAAUUAAUGAUA